ACUGGUAAGGCUAAAUAUUCUUGGAGACCGAUAGUGAACAAGUACCGUGAGGGAAAGGUGAAAAGAACCCCGGAGAGGGGAGUGAAAUAGAUCUGAAACCAUACACCUACAAGGAGUCGGAGCCUCAGCAAUGGGGUGACGGCGUGCCUAUUGAAGAAUGAGCCGGCGAGUGUACCUUUAUCCCUUGUCUAAGUGGCAAUCCCACGGAGGCACAGUGAAAGCGAGCGUUAAAAGCGCGAAUAUGGGGUAGGGGUACGACCCGAAGCGGGAUGAGCUUGCCAUGAGCAGGGUGAAGCGACUGUAAUAGGUCGUGGAGGCCCGAACCGGUUGGCCGUACAAAACCAUCGGAUGACUUGUGGUAAGGAGUGAAAAGCUUAUCGAAUUCCGUAAUAGCUGGUUCUCUCCGAAACAGCUUUUGGGUUGGCGUCGAGUGGUCCCUCUGGGGGUAGAGCACUGGAAAGAAAGAACAGGGAGAAAUCUCGUCUUUCUUAUCAAACUCCGAAUACCAGUAGGUUAUAGCUCGGCAGUUAGACUAUGGGGGCGAAGCUCCAUUGGUCGAAAGGGAAACAGCCCAGAUCGCCAGUUAAGGUCCCUAAAUAUAUGCUCAGUGCAACUUGAGGAGGUGAGGAUUCAUAAACAGUGAGGAGGUUGGCUUAGAAGCAGCCAUCCUUUAAAGAAAGCGUAACAGCUCACUCAUCGAGAGUCCUCGCGCCGAAAAUGAUCGGGGCUCAAGCAUAUUACCGAAACUGCGGAUUCGUACCUUUGGUACGAGUGGUAGGAGAGCGUUCGUAUUGCAAUGAAUCCAAGGCGGGAGCCGCGGUGGAGCGAUGCGAAGUGAGAAUGCCGGCACAAGUAACCGCAAGGCAGGUGAGAACCCUGCCCGCCGAAAUACCGAGGUUUCCUUCGCGAUGGUGAUCAGCGAAGGGUUAGUCGGUCCUAAGGGAAUCCCGAAUGGGGGACCCGAUGGAUAGCAGGUUAAUAUUCCUGCACACUGUUAUGUUCCUAUGGAGGGACGGAGCGUUGUACCCACAGCAUCUUAUUGGAUUGGUGCUGGAGCUAUGAGGGCGUCUGUUAGGCAAAUCCGGCAGAUAUAACCCAAGUAGGGUCUGAAUGUGAGGCUACGGCCGAGCAAAUGUGGGGAGCACGCUUCCGAGAAAAACUUCGUUUGGGUUAAACAUAAUGGUUCCGUACCGCAAACCGACACAGGUGGUAGAGUCGAGAAGACUAAGGCGAACGAGUGAGAGGUCCUCAAGGAACUCGGCAAAAAAGCGACCGUAACUUAGGGAUAAGGUCCGCCCAAUACACCACUUUGUCCUUAACUAGGAGAAAGUGAUGGAAAAUAUUAUCAAUACGGUGUUGAGUAGUCCAAUAACAGGGGUUAGGAUUAAGGCAACUGAUAAAGUUGUCUCGAUCACAGUAACCAGUACAACUGGUGAAAAAAUAAUCCAUGAAGUCACACCAAAAUUGUUGGUAUCUGCAGACGGUAGUCAAGUAUUGGUAACCGUUGAAUGUAGAAAAGUGAUUCCAUCUGAAGAGCUGGUGCUCUGAUGAAUGUUCUUUAGUCUCUCCUAGUUGAGGCUAAAGUGGUGUAUUGGGCCGCAGCGAAAGAUUUCCUGCCGACUGUUUAACAAAAACACAGCUCUCUGCUAACACGAAAGUGGAUGUAUAGAGGGUGACGCCUGACCUAUGCUGGAAGGUUAAAUACGGGGGGUCCAAUGAACUUCGGUUUGUUGGGCUGGACUGUAUAAGCCCCAGUAAAUGUCAGCGAUAACUAUAAUCGUUCUAAGGUUCAGCGCGCUUCUUCGGAAGUACGCUGAACGGACUAGAACGAUUAUAGGUUAGACAGCCUAGCCAUAGUUACCUUUCCUUUCUGAAAAGAAGGAGAAGUCCAAAUGCAACCAACAAGAGACCAAAUGUUGCACACCCGCAACGGAUCAUGCCGUGGGUGAAGAUAGAGUCCUAUUGUGAAAUGCGUACACAGCAAUGUGUGCGAGAAGGGAAUAUAGAGCGUAUUUCCUUGUCGGGUAAGUUCCGACGUGCACGAAUGGCGUAACGAGUGGGAAACUGUCUCGAGGACCUGCUCGGUGAAAAUACAAUGGCGGUAAAGAUGCCGCCUACCUGCAGAUAGACGAAAAGACCCCAGGAGCUUUACUGUAGCUUGAUAUUGGGGCUAUUGAAUUAAUGCGUAGCAUAGGAGGGAGACUUUGAAGCGGGCUUUUGGGUACCGUGGAGUCGCCAGUGAAAUACCUCUCUUUAUUUUGGUAGUCUCUAACCCCAUAGGUAAAACCUAUGGGAGACAGUGUCUGGCAGGCAGUUUUAGUGGGGCGCUACCCUCCCAAAGAAUAACGGAGGGGUCUCAAGGUUGGUUAGUCGCGAAUGGAAACCGUGACGAUAGUGUAAUGGCAUAAACCAGCUUGACUGUGAGUCGUAGAUGACGAACAGACGCGAAAGCGGAGCAUAGUGAACCGAUGGUUGGCUUUAGAUGCCGCCGGAGAUUACCCGAUAAAAGUUACCCUGGGGAUAACAGGCUAGUUGUGCCCAAGCGUCCAUAGCGACGGCACAGUUCGGCACCUCGAUGUCGGCUCAUCUUAUCCUGGGGCUGGAGCAGGUCCCAAGGGUUUGGCUGUUCGCCAAUUAAAAAGAUACGUGAGCUGGGUUUAGACCGUUCAGGCUGGGAAUGUUCCUUGCUUGAACCAAUCUAAACCCGAGGGGAGUAGUGGAGACUACUCAAAGAGACAUCAUCACGGCGGCGCAGAAUAGUAAUAUUCUGUGAGAAGUUGACUAUAUCGGUGAAACCCGACUGCGAAAGCAAGGGCAAUACCGAGGGAAGUAGGUAAUUGCGGAUUUCAUAGAGAUCAAUAUGAUCUUUAAAUUUCUGAGUGCGGAGAAAGCAACAAGGUCUACGUAUGAAAGUUGAAAGGGAUAGACACCUAGUAAACCAUGCGCUUGUUCACUUGCCGCACUCAGACCCACUACAUAAUUGUGGUGGUCUCUAUGAAAUCCAGAAUUAUUUGCACCCGUAGAGACUACAUGUCAACCUUCCAGAGAUGGAAGAAGAUAUAGUCCAAUCCUUCUGGUAACAGAAGACCGAGAUGCGUGAGACAGGUUGGUCUCCUAUCUACUGCAGGCGUCGAUUUUUGAGGAGAUUUGUCCCUAGUACGAGAGGACCGGGAUGAACGAACCUCUGGUCUAUCGGCUGUCACGCCAGUGGCACUGCCGAGUAGCUAUGUUCGGAAUGGAUAACCGCUGAAAGCAUCUAAGCGGGAAGCCAACUCCAAGAUUAGAAAUCAUUAAACCUCCUGAGAGAUGAUCAGGUUGAUAGGCACUAGGUGUAAGUACAGUAAUGUAUGUAGCCGAGGUGUACUAAUAGGGUGUAGCUUCCCAUA
rnacentral:rRNA from 1 species